ACACUGCUGAGGAGUCCCACAAGGGGACGAAACGGCCGUCCAGUGC
rfam:Schistosoma curassoni strain Dakar, Senegal genome assembly, scaffold: SCTD_contig0001049